GCCCGGUUAGCUCAGAAGGUAGAGCGCGUUCUUGGUAAGAACGAGGUCACGAGUUCAAGUCUCGUACCAGGCU
rfam:Arthrobacter chlorophenolicus A6 plasmid pACHL01, complete sequence.